rnacentral:rRNA from 1 species
UACGGAGGAUGCGAGCGUUAUCCGGAUUUAUUGGGUUUAAAGGGUGCGUAGGCGGAUCGUUAAGUCAGUGGUCAAAUUGAGGGGCUCAACCCCUUCCCGCCAUUGAAACUGGCGCUCUUGAGUGGAAGAGAAGUAUGCGGAAUGCGUGGUGUAGCGGUGAAGUGCAUAGAUAUCACGCAGAACCCCGAUUGCGAAGGCAGCAUGCCGGCUUCCGGCUGACGCUGAAGCACGAAAGCGUGGGGAUCGAACAGG